rnacentral:rRNA from 1 species
AUUGAACGCUGGCGGCAGGCCUAACACAUGCAAGUCGAGCGGUAGCACAGAGAGCUUGCUCUCGGGUGACGAGCGGCGGACGGGUGAGUAAUGUCUGGGAAACUGCCUGAUGGAGGGGGAUAACUACUGGAAACGGUAGCUAAUACCGCAUAACGUCGCAAGACCACAGUGGGGGACCUUCGGGCCUCAUGCCAUCAGAUGUGCCCAGAGGGGAUUAGCUAGUAGGGGGGGUAACGGCUCACCUAGGCGACGAUCCCUAGCUGGUCUGAGAGGAUGACCAGCCACACUGGAACUGAGACACGGUCCAGACUCCUACGGGAGGCAGCAGUGGGGAAUAUUGCACAAUGGGCGCAAGCCUGAUGCAGCCAUGCCGCGUGUGUGAAGAAGGCCUUCGGGUUGUAAAGCACUUUCAGCGGGGAGGAAGGCGGUGAGGUUAAUAACCUCAUCGAUUGACGUUACCCGCAGAAGAAGCACCGGCUAACUCCGUGCCAGCAGCCGCCGUAA